rnacentral:rRNA from 1 species
CCUACGGGAGGCAGCAGUAGGGAAUAUUGCUCAAUGGGGGAAACCCUGAAGCAGCAACGCAGCGUGGAGGAUGAAGGUCUUAGGAUUGUAAACUCCUUUUGUUAGGGAAGAUUAUGUCGGUAUGUAAAGAAUAAGCAACGGCCAAUUCCGUGCCAGCAGCCGCGGUAAUACGGAGGGUGCAAGGGUUAAUCGGAUACACUGGGCGUAAAGAGUGCGUAGGCGGGUGAAUAAGUCAGAUGUGAAAUCCUGUAGGUUAACUACAGAACUGCAUUUGAAACUGUUACUCUGGAGUGUGGGAGAGGUAGGUGGAAUUCGUGGUGUAGCGGUAAAAUGCGUAGAGAUCAAGAAGAAUACUGAUUGCGAAGGCGGCUUACUGGAACAUUACUGACGCUGAUGCACGAAAGCGUGGGGAUCAAACAGGAUUAGAUACCCGUGUAGUC